UACUCGAGUGGCGAACGGGUGAGUAACACGUGGGUGAUCUGCCCUGCACUUCGGGAUAAGCUUGGGAAACUGGGCCUAAUACCGGAUAGGAGCCAUCUUUAGUGUGGUGGUUGGAAAGUUUUUUCGGUGUAGGAUGAGCUCGCGGCCUAUCAGCUUGUUGGUGGGGUAAUGGCCUACCAAGGCGGCGACGGGUAGCCGGCCUGAGAGGGUGUACGGCCACAUUGGGACUGAGAUACGGCCCAG
rnacentral:rRNA from 1 species